CUGGGGAUAAUACCCUAUAGAUUACAGAUGCUGGAAUGCCCUGUAAUCCAAAGUUCCGACGCCCUAGGAUGGAUCUGCGGCCGAUUAGGUUGUUGUUGGGGUAACGGCCCAACAAGCCCGUAAUCGGUACGGGUUGUGGGAGCAAGAGCCCGGAGUUGGAUUCUGAGACACGAAUCCAGGCCCUACGGGGCGCAGCAGGCGCGAAAACUUUACAAUGCGGGCAACCGUGAUAAGGGAACCUCGAGUGCCUGUAAAUGCAGGCUGUUCAGGUGCCUAAAACACACCUGAAGAAAGGGCCGGGCAAGACCGGUGCCAGCCGCCGCGGUAAUACCGGCGGCUCGAGUGGUGGCCGCUUUUAUUGGGCUUAAAGCGUUCGUAGCUGGGUUGUUAAGUCUCUUGGGAAAUCUGGCGGCUUAACCGUCAGGCGUCUAAGGGAUACUGGCAAUCUUGGAACCGGGAGAGGUGAGGGGUACUUCGGGGGUAGGAGUGAAAUCCUGUAAUCCUCGAGGGACCACCUGUGGCGAAGGCGCCUCACCAGAACGGCUUCGACAGUGAGGGACGAAAGCUGGGGGAGCAAACCGGAUUAGAUACCCGGGUAGUCCCAGCCGUAAACUAUGCGCGUUAGGUGUAUCGGUGACCACGAGUUACCGAGGUGCCGAAGGGAAACCGUGAAACGUGCCGCCUGGGAAGUACGGUCGC
rnacentral:rRNA from 1 species